AUUGAACGCUGGCGGAAUGCUUUACACAUGCAAGUCGAGCGGCAGCGCGGGGGCAACCCUGGCGGCGAGCGGCGAACGGGUGAGUAAUACAUCGGAACGUGUCCUUGAGUGGGGGAUAGCUCGGCGAAAGCCGGAUUAAUACCGCAUAAGCUCUGCGGAGGAAAGCGGGGGACUGGUAACGGCCUCGCGCUGUUGGAGCGGCCGAUGUCGGAUUAGCUAGUUGGUGGGGAAAGGCCCACCAAGGCGACGAUCCGUAGCUGGUCUGAGAGGAUGAUCAGCCACACUGGAACUGAGACACGGUCCAGACUCCUACGGGAGCAGCAGUGGGGAAUUUGGACAAUGGGGGCAACCCUGAUCCAGCCAUUCCGCGUGAGUGAAGAAGGCCUGGU
rnacentral:rRNA from 1 species